rnacentral:rRNA from 1 species
UACGUAGGGUGCGAGCGUUGUCCGGAUUUAUUGGGCGUAAAGAGCUCGUAGGCGGUUUGUCGCGUCUUGCUGUGAAAACCGGAGGCUCAACCUCCGGCCUGCAGUGGGUACGGGCAAACUAGAGUGCGGUAGGGGAGAUUGGAAUUCCUGGUGUAGCGGUGGAAUGCGCAGAUAUCAGGAGGAACACCGGUGGCGAAGGCGGAUCUCUGGGCCAUUACUGACGCUAAAGCGCGAAAGCUAGGGGAGCAAACGGG